rnacentral:rRNA from 1 species
GACAGAGGGUGCAACGUUGUUCGGAAUUACUGGGCGUAAAGCGCGUGUAGGCGGCUAAGUAAGUCGGGCGUGAAAUCCCACGGCUCAACCGUGGAAGUGCACUCGAAACUGCAUAGCUAGAGUCCGGAAGAGGAGAGUGGAAUUCCCAGUGUAGAGGUGAAAUUCGUAGAUAUUGGGAAGAACACCGGGUGGCGAAGGCGGCUCUCUGGACCGAUACUGACGCUGAGGCGCGAAAGCGUGGGGAGCAAACAGGG